rnacentral:rRNA from 2 species
GGCCAUAGAAGGUGAUAGCCCUGUAUCUGAAAGGGCCAUUCCAGUGAAGACGAGUAGGGCGGGGCACGUGAAACCCUGUCUGAACAUGGGGGGACCAUCCUCCAAGGCUAAAUACUACUGACCGACCGAUAGUGAACCAGUACCGUGAGGGAAAGGCGAAAAGAACCCCGGAGAGGGGAGUGAAAUAGAACCUGAAACCGUGUGCGUACAAGCAGUAGGAGCUCCGCAAGGAGUGACUGCGUACCUUUUGUAUAAUGGGUCAGCGACUUACUGUUCGUGGCAAGCUUAACCGUAUAGGGGAGGCGAAGGGAAACCGAGUCUGAUAAGGGCGCAUAGUCGCGGGCAGUAGACCCGAAACCGGGUGAUCUAGUCAUGCCCAGGGUGAAGGUGCGGUAACACGCACUGGAGGCCCGAACCCACUCCCGUUGCAAAGGUAGGGGAUGAGGUGUGAUUAGGAGUGAAAAGCUAAUCGAACCCGGAGAUAGCUGGUUCUCCUCGAAAGCUAUUUAGGUAGCGCCUCAUAUGUAUCCUCUCGGGGGUAGAGCACUGUUAUGGCUAGGGGGUCAUCGCGACUUACCAAACCAUUGCAAACUCCGAAUACCGAGACGGACUGUAUGGGAGACACACGGCGGGUGCUAACGUCCGUCGUGAAAAGGGAAACAACCCAGACCCACAGCUAAGGUCCCAAAUUCACUGCUAAGUGGAAAACCAUGUGGAAAGGCACAGACAGCCAGGAGGUUGGCUUAGAAGCAGCCACCCUUUAAAGAAAGCGUAAUAGCUCACUGGUCGAGUCGGUCUGCGGGGAAGAUUUAACGGGGCUAAGCAGUGAACCGAAGCUUGGGGUGCAUACUUUGUAUGCGCGGUAGAGGAGCGUUCCGUAAGCCGUUGAAGGUGGAUUGAGAAGUCUGCUGGAGGUAUCGGAAGUGCGAAUGCUGACAUGAGUAACGAUAAUGCGGGUGAAAAACCCGCACGCCGAAAGCCCAAGGUUUCCUUGCGCAACGUUAAUCGGCGCAGGGUGAGUCGGCCCCUAAGGCGAGGACGAAAGUCGUAGUCGAUGGGAAGCAGGUUAAUAUUCCUGCACCUCGCGUAAGUGCGAUGGAGGGACGGAGAAGGUUAGGUGUACCAGGCGUUGGUUGUCCUGGGGAAAGGCGGUAGGUUUGGAUCUUUGGCAAAUCCGGGAUCCUUUAAGACCGAGCACCGAGACGAGCCUUUAAGGCGAAGUCACUGAUACCACGCUUCCAGGAAAAGCUCCUAAGCUUCAGCUUACGCAGACCGUACCGUAAACCGACACAGGUGGGUAGGAUGAGAAUUCUCAGGCGCUUGAGAGAACUCGGGUGAAGGAACUAGGCAACAUGGCACCGUAACUUCGGGAGAAGGUGCACCCUUUUUGGUGGCUCGUGCGAGCUAUAGCUGAAGAGGGUCGCAGUAACCAGGCCGCUGCGACUGUUUAUCAAAAACACAGCACUCUGCAAACACGAAAGUGGACGUAUAGGGUGUGACGCCUGCCCGGUGCUGGAAGGUUAAUUGAUGGGGUCAGCCGCAAGGCGAAGCUCUUGAUCGAAGCCCCAGUAAACGGCGGCCGUAACUAUAACGGUCCUAAGGUAGCGAAAUUCCUUGUCGGGUAAGUUCCGACCUGCACGAAUGGCGUAACGACAGCGGCGCUGUCUCCACCCGAGACUCAGUGAAAUUGAAAUCGCUGUGAAGAUGCAGCGUUCCCGUGGCAAGACGGAAAGACCCCGUGAACCUUUACUAUAGCUUUACACUGAACGUUGAGUUCGUCUGUGUAGGAUAGGUGGGAGGCUAUGAAACCAUGGCGCUAGCUGUGGUGGAGCCAUCCUUGAAAUACCACCCUGUCGUGCUUGACGUUCUAACCUGGGCCCAUUAUCUGGGUCGGGGACCGUGUAUGGUGGGUAGUUUGACUGGGGCGGUCUCCUCCUAAAGAGUAACGGAGGAGCUCGAAGGUACGCUCAGCGCGGUCGGACAUCGCGCACUGUGUGCAAAGGCAUAAGCGUGCUUGACUGCAAGAUCGACGGAUCAAGCAGGUAGGAAACUAGGACUUAGUGAUCCGGUGGUUCUGUAUGGAAGGGCCAUCGCUCAACGGAUAAAAGGUACUCCGGGGAUAACAGGCUGAUACCGCCCAAGAGUUCAUAUCGACGGCGGUGUUUGGCACCUCGAUGUCGGCUCAUCACAUCCUGGGGCUGUAGUCGGUCCCAAGGGUAUGGCUGUUCGCCAUUUAAAGUGGUACGCGAGCUGGGUUCAGAACGUCGUGAGACAGUUCGGUCCCUAUCUGCCAUGGGCGUUGGAGAUUUGAGAGGGGCUGCUCCUAGUACGAGAGGACCGGAGUGGACGAACCUCUGGUGUUCCGGUUGUCACGCCAGUGGCAUUGCCGGGUAGCUAUGUUCGGAAGCGAUAACCGCUGAAAGCAUCUAAGCGGGAAGCGCGCCUCAAGAUGAGAUCUCCCGGGGCACAAGCCCCCUGAAGGAACCAUGUAGACUACGUGGUUGAUAGGUCAGGUGUGUAAGUACAGCAAUGUAUUGAGCUAACUGAUACUAAUGAUCCGUGCGGCUUGACCAU